GUUUGCUCAGAGUGCAGCUGUAUGCAUAUACGUAACAAAGAGAAAAUGAGAAGUGUACCACGCCCUGUCCAGAGGUCUAGCUUCAAUUUUUGAUUCAGCAGCUCUGGUGCAAUAAUACGAAGUAAUCGCUAGUCCGUAGCUGCCUCUCAAAUAAGAAUUCUAACGAGGCAAGUUUCUUACCAACUUUGUCUUCAGUCUUUGGAUGAGUUGCGAAGGAAAUGGGCAAGAAGACUUCUCGUACGGUAAAAGCUACUACAGAGUGUGUAGCAGUUGACAUGUGACAUA